rnacentral:rRNA from 1 species
GGAGUUAGCCGGUGCUUCUUCUGUGAGUGAUGUCCUUCCUGCCGGUUAUUGACCCGCAGGCCUUCUUCCUCACUGAAAGUGCUUUACAACCCGAAGGCCUUCUUCACACACGCGGCAUGGCUGGUUCAGGGUUGCCCCCAUUGUCCAAUAUUCCCCACUGCUGCCUCCCGUAGGAGUCUGGGCCGUGUCUCAGUCCCAGUGUGGCUGAUCAUCCUCUCAGACCAGCUACGGAUCGUCGCCUUGGUGAGCCGUUACCUCACCAACCAGCUAAUCCGACAUAGGCUCAUCCGAUAGCGCGAGGCCCGAAGGUCCCCCGCUUUCCCCCGUAGGGCGUAUGCGGUAUUAGCCUGGGUUUCCCCAGGUUAUCCCCCACUACCGGGCAGAUUCCUAUGCAUUACUCACCCGUCCGCCGCUCGCCACCAGGGAGCAAGCUCCCCGUGCUGCCGCUCGACUUGCAUGUGUUAGGCCUGCCGCCAGCGUUCAAUCUGAGCCAGGAUCAAACUCUGA